AUGGGGGUCACAGGGGUCACACGGGGGCCACAUGGGGGUUACAGGGGUCAUAGGGGGGUCACAGGAGUCUCACGGGGGUCUCACAGGGGUCACAGGGGUCACAUGGGGGGUCAUAGGGGUUACACGGGGGUCACAGGGGUCAGGGGACAGCCCCCAAAGCCACAGUGCCCCCCGAAAUGUACCCCAGCUCCGACAGCACCUGGGGGGGGGACACGGGGGUUAUGGGGGGUCAUGGGGGGGGUCAUAGGGGUCACACGGGGGGCACAGGGGUCUCACGGGGGUCUCACGGGGGUCACACGGGUCACAGGGGGGUCACAGGGGUCAGGGGACAGCCCCAAGGCCACAGCGCCCCCCGAGAUGUACCCCAGCUCCGACAGCACCUGGGGAGGGGGCACGGGGGUCACACGGGGUCAUAGGGGGGUCACAGGGGUCACACGGGGGUCACAGGGGUCACACGGGGGUCACACGGGGUCACACAGGGUCACACGGGGUCACAGGAGGGUCACAGGGGUCAGGGGACAGCCCCCAGGGCCACCGUGCCCCCCGAGACGUACCCCAGCUCCGACAGCACCUGGGGAGGGUCACACGGGGUCACAGGGGGUCACACGGGGGUCACAUGGGGGUCACACGGGGGUCACAGGGGUCACAGGGGUCAGGGGACAGCCCCCAAAGCCACAGUGCCCCCCGAGACGUACCCCAGCUCCGACAGCACCUGGGGAGGGGGUCACAGGGGGUCAUGGGGGUCACAGGGGGGUCACAGGGGGGUCACAAGGGUCACACGGGGGUCACAGGGGUCAGGGGACAGCCCAGGACAGGGGACAGCCCCCAGGGUCACUGCAUCCUGGGGCUGUUUUGGGGGGUCCCAGGGGCAGUUUUGGGGUCCCAGGGGCAGUUUUGGGGCUCCGGGUGCAGUUUGGGGGUCCCAGGGGCAGUUUGGGGUCCCAGGGGCAGUUUUGGGGUUCUGGGUGCAGUUUGGAGCAUCCCAGGGGCAGUUUUGGGGUGUCCUGGUGCAGUUUUGGGGUGUCCCGGGGCAGUUUUGGGGUCCCUGGGGCAGUUUUGGGGUCCCACCUCGAGGCGCUGGUGGUACUCGGGCAGCAGCAGCAGCGACUUGGGGGAUGUGGGGUGAUCCCAGGGGCUGUUUUUGGGGGAUGUGGGGGGGUCCCAGGGGCAGUUUGGGGGGUCCCAGGGUCAGUUUUGGGGUCCCAGGGUCAGUUUUGGGGUGUCCUGUGGCAGUUUGGGGGGGUCCCAGGGGCAGUUUUGGGGCUCCGGGUGCAGUUUGGAGCGUCCAUGGGGCAGUUUGGGGUGUCCUGGGGCAGUUUUGGGGUCCCAGGGGCAGUUUUGGGGUCCAGGGGCAGUUUUGGGGUGUCCUGGGGCAGUUGGGGGUCCCAGGGGCAGUUUGGAGCAUCCCAGGGUCAGUUUUGGGGUCCCAGGGGCAGUUUUGGGGUCCCAGGGGCAGUUUGGGGGGUCCCCGGGGCAGUUUUGGGGUCCCAGGGGCAGUUUUUGUCCCCACCUCGAGGCGCUGGUGGUACUCGGGCAGCAGCAGCAGCGACUCGGGGGAUGUGGGGUGAUCCCAGGGGCAGUUUUUGGGGGGGGGGGUGA
rnacentral:lncRNA from 1 species